CUUGCCUGGCCGCUGCCGCGUAGCUGGGCACCAACCCUCUCCGCUAUGCAAUUAAAACUUGACUGAGCUGGCGAACAAACUAGUUAACUCGAUAACACUGGGAGCCAACCGCUUCAAGCAACGGUUAUGGGCCGGAACAGGAGAGCCGUUCCAAGCCACGCCCCUGGUAUCCCGGGGAGGUGCGAAAGGCAAGGCGCCAAGGGCCGCCAUUGGAGAAACCGCCGGGUUUGAAUCGCUCCCGGCGCCAGUUUAUUGGCUGCGAAUUGGUCGCGCGUUCCUUCUUCUCGCAGCCCAGUACCAACCUCCCAGAGUUCUCCAAGUUCUGCCUUUCUUUUAAGCCGACGAUUUCGACCUUGCUGGCAAAAUGAAAUGAAAUGACAUGAAAUCGACUACUAAACCUUUUCUUCUGUGGUUUAAUACCGGCAGCUUCGCGCGCUGCGGAGCUAGAUAUGGUAUAUCUGAAAGAGACCAACCCACUGAGGACUGGAAAGAUGCUGGAGGAAAAGCAGUAGUAGGGAUUUAACCUUGCUUUUAGUUCACUGAAUUCAUAUAACUGUACCAUUGGUUUCAUCUCACUGGCCUGAGGUUUAUAAUUGACAAUUUAGGGCAGAAAUUGUCUAAAUAAAAUUUUUAAAUUACCAAUUUCAACCCUUGAGUCCAAGUUUGACAAAGUAUCUUAGUAUACUAAGAUAGUUCUUCAACCCCAGCACUGGGUUAUGGAUUUCACAUGGGUAGAUUCCACCCUGGAACCUUUUUACAACAUUAAUAACUCGUUCUGUUUUUGCAAUAGUGAUUUCUUUAAGGUGCUAUCGAGGCUAGUUUUAAUUUGUUAACACUUUAUAUGAAAAUUGUGUAUGAGUAGUCUAAUUUUAUUCUGUCAUGGAUUUUAUUACCGUAUAUUUUAUUCUGUUGAUUGUUUAUACUUAAAACUUGUGGUCAAAAGAGCUUUUUAAUAAAAGGAAUUAAAUUUGAAA